UGCGGGGGGGGCGAGCGUUGUUCGGAAUUACUGGGCGUAAAGGGUGCGUAGGCGGCUUUCUAAGUCGGAUGUGAAAACUCUGGGCUCAACCCAGAGCCUGCAUCUGAAACUGGAGAGCUAGGGUUUGGAGGGGAAAGCGGAAUUCCAGGUGUAGCGGUGAAAUGCGUAGAUAUCUGGAGGAACACCGGUAGCGAAGGCGGCUUUCUGGACAAAUACCGACGCUGAGGCACGAAAGCUAGGGGAGCAAACAGG
rnacentral:rRNA from 1 species